rnacentral:rRNA from 1 species
CUCCUACGGGAGGCAGCAGGAGGGAAUAUUGGUCAAUGGAGGCAACUCUGAACCAGCCAUGCCGCGUGCAGGAUGACGGCCCUCUGGGUUGUAAACUGCUUUUAUACGGGAAGAAAAAAUACUACGUGUAGUAUAUUGACGGUACCGUAAGAAUAAGGAUCGGCUAACUCCGUGCCAGCAGCCGCGGUAAUAU